AUUGAACGCUGGCGGCAUGCCUUACACAUGCAGGUCGAACGGUAACGGGCCUUCGGGUGCCGACGAGUGGCGAACGGGCGAGUAAUACAUCGGAACGUGCCCGAUCGUGGGGGAUAACGAGGCGAAAGCUUUGCUAAUACCGCAUACGAUCUACGGAUGAAAGCAGGGGACCGCAAGGCCUUGCGCGGACGGAGCGGCCGAUGGCAGAUUAGGUAGUUGGUGGGAUAAAAGCUUACCAAGCCGACGAUCUGUAGCUGGUCUGAGAGGAUGAUCGGCCACACUGGGACUGAGACACGGGCCAGACUCCUACGGGAGGCAGCAGUGGGGAAUUUUGGACAAUGGGCGCAAGCCUGAUCCAGCCAUGCCGCGUGCAGGAUGAAGGCCUUCGGGUUGUAAACUGCUUUUGUACGGAACGAAAAGCCUUCUUCUAAUACAGGAGGGUCAUGACGGUACCGUAAGAAUAAGCACCGGCUAACUACGUGCCAGCCGCCGCCGUAA
rnacentral:rRNA from 1 species